CCCCUAGAUGUUCUGGGCCGCACGCGCGCUACACUGAACAGUUCAACAAGUCUUAACCUUGGCCGAUAGGUCUGGGUAAUCUUUGAACGCUGUUCGUGAUUGGGAUAGACCUUUGCAAUUAUGGGUCUUCAACGAGGAAUUCCUAGUAAACGCAAGUCAUCAGCUUGCAUUGAUUACGUCCCUGCCCUUUGUACACACCGCCCGUCGCACCUACCGAUUGAAUGGUCCGGUGAAAUCUCGAGACGGCGGCUUGGUCGCUUGCGUCCGACUGCUGAAACUUGAUUAAACCAUAUCAUUUAGAGGAAGGUGAAGUCGUANCA
rnacentral:rRNA from 1 species